CGCGUUAAGUGGGAAAGGAUGUUGGAUUGCACAGACAACCAGGAUGUUGGCUUAGAAGCAGCCACACAUUCAAAGAGUGCGUAAUAGCUCACUGGUCGAGUGAUCCAGCGCCGAAAAUGUAACGGGGCUAAAACGCGACACCGAAGCAGCGGGAUGCGUAAGCAUCGGUAGAGGAGCAUUGUGUGAGGGUUGAAGCCAGAGCGGGAGCACUGGUGGACUUCACAGAAGAGAGAAUGCCGGUAUGAGUAGCGAGACCCAUGCGAGAAACAUGGGCGUCGAAGGCCCAAGGUUUCCUGGGGAAGGUUCAUCCACCCAGGGUAAGUCGGGACCUAAGCCGAGGACUGAGGUCGUAGGCGAUGGACAGCAGGUAGAGAUUCCUGCACCACUUAUACUUGUUUGACGAAGCAGUGACACAGAAGGAUAGGACGAGCGCGGUGAUGGUCAACCGCGUAGGCGGCACGAGGCCGGGAAGCAGUGAAGUACACUUCCCGCAAAGGCUGAGUGUUGACAGGACCGAAAAGAAGUAGGGAAGCGUCCGAGUUCACGCUGGCGAGAAAAGCUGCUAAGGAGAGUGUGAGUGCCCGUACCGGAAACCGACGCAGGUGGGCGAGGAGAGAAUCCUGAGACGGACGGGAGAACUCUUGUUAAGGAACUCGGCAAAAUGACCCCGUAACUUCGGGAGAAGGGGUGCCUCGAAAGAGGCCGCAGAGAAUAGUCACAAGCGACUGUUUAGCAAAAACACAGGUAUCUGCGAAAGCGAGAGCUGACGUAUAGGUGCUGACGCCUGCCCGGUGCUGGAAGGUUAAGGGGAAGUGUUAGGGGAAACCCGAAGCAGAGAACCGAAGCCCCAGUAAACGGCGGCCGUAACUAUAACGGUCCUAAGGUAGCGAAAUUCCUUGUCGGGUAAGUUCCGACCCGCACGAAUGGCGUAACGACUUGUGAGCUGUCUCAACAGGAGGCCCGGUGAAAUUGAAGUAUGUGUGAAGAUGCACAUUACCCGCGACUGGACGGAAAGACCCCGUAGAGCUUUACUGUAACCUGACAUUGGAUCUUGAUAACGGAUGCACAGGAUAGGUGGGACGCUGGGAGACGAGGACUUUGGUUUUCGUGGAGCGGCCGUUGGGAUACCACUCUUCUGUUAUUGAGAUUCUAACCUCAAGCCGUGAGCCGGAUGAGAGACAGUGUCAGGCGGACAGUUUGACUGGGGCGGUCGCCUCCGAAAGAGUAACGGAGGCGCCCAAAGGUACCCUCAGAAUGGAUGGAAACCAUUCGAAGAGAGCAAAGUCAGAAGGGUGCUUGACUGCGAGACCAACAAGUCGAGCAGGUACGAAAGUAGGGCUUAGUGAUCCGGCGGUAAGAGAGUGGAAUUGCCGUCGCUCAACGGAUAAAAGCUACCUCGGGGAUAACAGGCUGAUCUCCCCCAAGAGUUCACAUCGACGGGGAGGUUUGGCACCUCGAUGUCGGCUCGUCGCAUCCUGGGGCUGAAGCAGG
rnacentral:rRNA from 1 species